UACGAAGGGGGCUAGCGUUGCUCGGAAUCACUGGGCGUAAAGCGCACGUAGGCGGAUUGUUAAGUCAGGGGUGAAAUCCUGGAGCUCAACUCCAGAACUGCCUUUGAUACUGGCGAUCUUGAGUCCGGGAGAGGUGAGUGGAACUGCGAGUGUAGAGGUGAAAUUCGUAGAUAUUCGCAAGAACACCAGUGGCGAAGGCGGCUCACUGGCCCGGUACUGACGCUGAGGUGCGAAAGCGUGGGGAGCAAACAGGGAUUAAGAAA
rnacentral:rRNA from 1 species